rnacentral:rRNA from 1 species
UGGGGAAUUUUGCACAAUGGGGGAAACCCUGAUGCAGCGACGCCGCGUGAUUUAGAAGGCCUUCGGGUUGUAAAAAUCUUUUUUAUGGGAUGAAAAUGACAGUACCAUAAGAAUAAGGUCCGGCUAAAUACGUGCCAGCAGCCGCGGUAAUACGUAUGGACCGAGCGUUGUCCGGAAUCAUUGGGCGUAAAGGGUACGUAGGCGGCCCAGUAAGUUAGAAGUGAAAUAAUAUAGCUCAACUAUAUAAAGCUUUUAAAACUGCUAGGCUUGAGAGAUGGAAGGGAAAGUGGAAUUCCUAGUGUAGCGGUGAAAUGCGCAGAUAUUAGGAAGAAUACCGGUGGCGAAGGCGACUUUCUGGUCAUCAUCUGACGCUGAGGUACGAAAGCGUGGGUAGCAAACACG